GGACUUUUUGCUGAGUGGUAGAGCACUUGACUUGCAUGCACAAGGUCCCAGGUUCGAGUCCUGGCAUCUCCA